rnacentral:rRNA from 1 species
AAGCGUUCAUGACCAGACUUGGGCAGGUUGAUCAUCCGUGGUUCUCCGCGGUGCACUCUGCCUGCCCAGGCCAGCAUCAGUUUGCCCCGGGGGAUAAAAGCUUAGGGAAUGUGGCUCCUCCGGGAGUGUUAUAGCCCUCUGCAGAAUACCCUGGGGCGGACUGAGGUUCGCGCAUUCGUGCAAGGAUGCUGGCGUAAUGGUCAUCAGCGA